UCCUACGGGAGGCAGCAGUGGGGAAUAUUGGGCAAUGGGCGAAAGCCUGACCCAGCAACGCCGCGUGAAGGAAGAAGGCCUUCGGGUUGUAAACUUCUUUUAGCAGGGACGAAGGACGUGACGGUACCUGCAGAAAAAGCAACGGCUAACUACGUGCCAGCAGCCGCGGUAAUACGUAGGUUGCAAGCGUUGUCCGGAAUUACUGGGUGUAAAGGGCGUGUAGGCGGAGCUGCAAGUCAGAUGUGAAAUCCCGGGGCUCAACCCCGGAACUGCAUUUGAAACUGUAGCCCUUGAGUAUCGGAGAGGCAAGCGGAAUUCCUAGUGUAGCGGUGAAAUGCGUAGAUAUUAGGAGGAACACCAGUGGCGAAGGCGGCUUGCUGGACGACAACUGACGCUGAGGCGCGAAAGCGUGGGGAGCAAACAGGAUUAGAUACCCUGGUAGUC
rnacentral:rRNA from 1 species